CUCUCAACAAGUUUAUGUGGAGUUGGAAAUGUGCAUCAGCAGCGUCGAGUGUUUUCACGAAAAUAAAGAAAUAAUUGCGUUGAUAAUGAUGAUGAUGAUGAGGGGGGAGCCAUUGGUAGCAAAGCUGGCGGUGCUGGCAAAGUACGCGGUGCUUCCGGGAGCCAUGGUCGCUGCUCUCAUCUACUCUCCUCCCCAUUACGCUUCUUCUUCUUCUUCUUCCAACAAACAUCAUCUUCAAUCAUCCUCUUCUUCUAAGUCCAUGUCCAUGUAGAUCUCUUCUUCGUCCCUAAUCUUACGGGACUUUUGAUUGCUAUCUUUGGAGCUGUGCUGGGCUCAGUUGGAUGGUUCUGGUAUGUAAUAAUCCUGAUAGCUCUUCUUUCUUGCUGUUAUAGGAAUACAAAUUACUUUCUGUUCCUUUGAAGAACUUUGAGCAGCUUUGUGUAAUGCUUUCCCAACAAUGCAUAGUUGAAUUUGAUAAAUGCAAGAUGCUCCUUUAAUUUCAUCGUGGAA